rnacentral:rRNA from 1 species
AUGUCGUGGGUGGUGGACAUGGAGAAGAAGCUCGAGGACGCCGAGCAGCCAGACAAGGUUGAGAGAUGGCCGAGGCACUGCAUCGUCCGCGUCCCAUUGCGCUUCAAGAUGGUCGAUGGCAGCGUAUACAAGCCACGGACGGUCUCUCUAGGCCCAUUCCACCACGAUGACGUGGAGCUGAAACCCAUGGAGAUGCACAAGCUGAGGGCCGUCCGUCACCUCCUUCAUCGGGACAGCUGCAAGACUACCCUUGCCGAGCUUGUUGCCGCCGUGGAUGAGGUGGCGGACGAGCUGGAGGACUCCUACAUGGACCUGGGUGACGAGUGGCGGGGCCAGAAGAACAGGGGCAAGUUUCUAGAGAUGAUGAUCAGUGAUGGCUGCUUCCUGCUGGAGGUGAUGAGGGCCGCCGCAAGGAAGCGGUCCAUUCCCAAUGACUACGCGCACGGCGACCCCGUCUUCAGCAGGGACGGCAUCCAGCAGAUCAAGCCCUUCGUCCAGCGCGACAUGCUCAUGGUCGAAAACCAGCUGCCACUGAGGUUGCUCGAGAGGAUAGUCGCCGCGGAGGAUGGCACAUCUCCGAGCGCAGCUUCCAUAAACUCCAUGGUGCUCAAGUUCCUGGAAAGGGAAGAUGCCCCUGAAGAGAUCGUCCUGGGACUCCACCCGCUCGAUAUCUACCGGACGAGCCGACUCAAGCACAAAAGUCAGAGGAAGAGUAACAGAAAGGUUCUUCACAGAGGCAUGCCGACGGCACCGACAACAGAGGAGGUCAACAUGGUUCGCCUGCAGAGAGCGGUGCCCAGAUCCGCGUGGACCCUGUACAAGUCCGGAAUCCGGUUCCUGCCUAGCGGGACGAGCUGCCUUGACGACAUCGAUCUGGUUAACGGGAGGCUCUACAUGCCCAGUGUCCUGCUGGACGACUCCACCGUCUACAGGGUCCUCAACAUGAUGGCGUUCGAGGCGAUCCAUGUCGGCACCCGCGACGACGUGACGGCGUACGUGUUCUUCGUCAAGGACUUGGUCGACUCGGCCCAUGACGUGCGCCUGCUGGCGAGGAAAGGGAUCCUAGAGCACAACCUUGCGGACGACGACGCCGUGGUGAGGCUCUUCAACCGCCUCACCGCGGACGUGUCACAGAACUGGGAGAGUCAGCUUUCCCGCGUGCGCAUGAACGUGGAGCACCACUACCGCUCCAACCACCACAGGAACGGCGUGCACGUCUUUCUGUACGAGUCGUGGGCCAACCUCAGGAGCAAGUACCUCAGGAGCCCGUGGACGCUCCUUGGCCUCCUCACCGCAACCUUGCUCCUCGUCGCUGAAAUCGUGCAGGCCGUAUAUGCAGUCAAAUCCUACUAUGAACCUGACAAGGGCAAUUAA